AGAGGUAUAUCUCUAAUGAUACUGAAGUGUGCAUUGUACUUGCUUGGGGCCAAAAUCAAAUUUUGAGUGAGUCACCAUCUUCCUUGCCGGAGACCCCCUGGACAGAAGUUUUACUUUGAAAAUCUAAGGAGUAAGUGAUUAGGACUUUGUUAUUUUAUCUCUUUUGUUUUUAUCUGUUGGUGUAAAUAAUUCAUCUAAUUUAUUUAUUUUUUUUGGUCAAAGUUUUUGAGGUUUUUAUAUAGAAAGAACAGCAUCACAGGUAUGUACGUUGAAAUACAUUAGAUAGGUGUAGGCACCACAUGCAUACUGAUACAAUAACAUGAGUAAUCGGGGUCAAUUUUACAGUCCGAGCAGGUACUGAGGCUUACACAAACAAUCACAGCAGGCAUACUGGAAGGAGAUUCACAUGGUGACCAUUCAGAGAUAUACAGUAAUUUCAUGUGCGUAUCCGGAGCAUGCAUCCUGCGAUGAGGAACAAGAAAAAACAGGGAAGGGAAAAGGGUACAGAAAAGAAAGCGGGAGGGAUGAGGGAAAAGUUGAUCCCAACUACAAUCUCCUGUGCGUCCAUUCAUUAGAGUCCGUCCACUGUCAGUUAUUUGAGAGGUGUGUGUCACCCAAGUCUGCAGUGAUAACCCUUGGUUAUGCCCCUAUUAAUUUGGGUCACCCAGACCCCCUUCACCCGUUUCCCGUCCCCCUAAGGGGAGGCUCAUGGCC